AUGAAUUGUGCUUUUUUUUAACCAAAUAACAGUGAGAUGAUGCUGAAUCCUGGCUGACACAGUUGGAGUGAGGUGAUGCUGGCCUGGGUGACAGACAGGGGGAGAGAGAGAGACAGAACCUGGGCCGGAGCAGGAAGCUGCCGCUGCUGGGACUGUGGACACUGUGGGACACAGGAGCCACGGAACUACGUCGAGGGAUUCAACAUAAUGUAGACCCAGUCGUGUGCAACAUUCAGCGGAAAACAGGGGCAGCUGCGGAAGGCUGUUGCGAGCCCGGAUAAUUCUGCUUAAUUUGAGUUCGUUUGAUAGAGGAAAAUGAAGGAGCUGAAGGGCUGCGGUAUGCGCUCCUCGGUGGGCUUUCUGUCCCGCAGAGAGCUCAUGGGGCAGCCGCUCAUGAAGGAAGAAUUCCAGAGGCGCAGGUUUUCCGGCUGCACGAGCCUCUUCAAGAAGGACAUGCUCGGACACUUCGGCUGCGUCAACGCCAUUGAGUUCUCAAACAACGGCGGAGAAUGGCUGGUGUCUGGAGGAGACGACCGCCGUGUUCUCCUCUGGCACAUGGAAAAAGCCAUUCAUGCUCGCUCCAAACCUGUGAAGCUGAAGGGUGAGCAUCUGUCCAACAUCUUCUGCCUGGCCUUCGACAGCACCAACAAGAAGGUCUUCUCUGGAGGAAACGAUGAGCAGGUGAUUCUCCAUGAUGUUGAGAGGAGGGAAACUCUGAACGUGUUCCUGCACAUCGACGCUGUCUACAGUUUAUCUGUCAGCCCUGUGAACGACAACGUGUUCGCCAGCUCAUCUGACGAUGGACGAGUUCUCAUCUGGGACACUCGUGAGCCGCUGCAUGGAGAGCCUUUCUGCCUGGCCAGUUACCCCUCAGCCUUUCACAGUGUGAUGUUCAACCCCGUGGAGCCCCGCCUGCUGGCCACAGCCAACUCCAAAGAGGGAGUGGGAUUAUGGGAUAUCCGGAAACCCCGCAGUUCGCUGCUACGUUAUGGAGGAAACAUGUCCCUUCAGAGCGCCAUGAGUGUUCGCUUCAACAGUACCGGAACUCAGCUGCUGGCUCUGCGUCGGCGUCUGCCGCCCGUCCUCUACGAGCUACACUCGCGUCUUCCCAGCUUCCAGUUUGACAACCAGGGCUACUUCAACUCCUGCACCAUGAAGAGCUGCUGCUUCGCUGGAGACAAAGAUCAGUACAUCUUGUCUGGAUCAGACGAUUUCAACCUCUACAUGUGGAAAAUCCCCAAGGAUCCAGAAGCAGGGGGCCCCGGUCGUGUGGUAAACGGGGCUUUCAUGGUGCUGAAAGGUCACCGCUCCAUAGUGAACCAGGUUCGAUUCAACCCUCACACCUACAUGAUCUGCUCCUCAGGGGUGGAGAAAGUCAUCAAGAUGUGGAGUCCGUACCAGCAGCCUGAGAGUCUUGGCGACCUGGAGGGCCGAGUGGAGGACAAGUCCCGCAGCCUCUACACUCAUGAGGAGUACAUCAGCCUGGUGCUGAACAGUGGCAGCGGCCUGUCCCAUGACUACGUCAGCCAGUCUAUACAGGAAGACCCUCGUAUGAUGGCUUUCUUUGACUCCCUGGUGCGCAGAGAGAUCGAGGGCUGGAGCUCCGACUCUGACAGCGACCUGAGUGAGGAGGCCAUCAUGCAGCUUCACGCGCGGGGACGUCGAUCCACCCGGCCCGUAGCCACAGCACCUCCAGCUGCUUCAGCGUCUGUGAACCACAGUGACUCUGAGAGCUCUUCUUCGUCCUGCUCUUUGGCUCCGCCCGAAGCCUCAGGAGGGGAGGAUCAGUCCAGAGCAGAAGGCGGAACUGAAGUGGAACGACCCAGGAGACGUAGCAGGUUCCCGUGGAAUCAGUCUGGGUUCCUCCUGAACGAAGACUCCGACUCCAGCGAGUUUUGGUUGGACCCCAUGCCCCGGCCUCGAUCCCCGAGUCCUAGGGACAACUCCACCAUUUCUAGCCCCGCCUCUUCUCCUUCACUUCCUGUCGGAGCCUCCAGCUCUUCCACGUCCACUUCUAGUUCCAGCAGCGACGAUGAAGAGAGACGCAGCGCCGUCAGGCGGCGCAACGUCGUUAGGCGUCACCGUAUGAAUGUCGUGUCCAGAGCGGGAGACCGACCUGAGCCUGUGCAGGCUCUGUUUUCAGCAGUAGACUCCUGCAGUUACCCGUCGAUCGCAAUCACCGACCCCUCUUCUUCCUCGUCAGGAGACGAACGAAAGCCUCAAAGUAGCAACAACAAGGAGGAGCAGGAGGAGGACAUCGAUACUUGUCUGAGUCCUUCUGAGUUUGUGUGUUUGAGCCCAGACCUGUCCCCUGAGAGUCAGGACAAUGAGGAAGGAUUUGACAGAACUGAGGUGAGGAGACGUUCAACUGCGUCUCCUCGGUCGUUGGACGGACACAGGACUGGAGGAGGAGCUGCUCCAGAGCCGGCUUUGGACAGUUCUGACGGAGGAGAGGAGUGUAACGCCCCGGCAGCUGCAGACUGUAACUCCCAGAAUGGACGCAGCCCCGGAGUGAAUGGGCAGCACAGGACUGUGGCAUCACACGGGAGCGAGAACCGCAGCAUCUCCUCGGACUCUGAGGCAGAGACUGGAGACGGGCCUGAAGACCGGAGGUCAUGGAGAGAAAAGCGCUCAGCACAGAACGCUCUAAAACGGACUCACGUUGGAUCAGAAGAAGCCGAAGCAGGCUGCUCGCCUUCAGAGAAGAAGAUAAAAACAUAACGACACUCGUUUCACCUCACUGAGGAAGUGGGUUUCUGAGGGAUUUUACAACUGGGGUCUUUCAUUGUGUGACAAUGCAACGCUGUUGAGUAAGAGAUGUUCAACAAAGGAAAAGUUCAGAACAGUAUCGUCAUCGUCCUUUAGGUCAAACCACAGGUGACUUUAAAAUAUCAAAGAAAGAGCGAAAUGUCAUUGAUAACAAUGGUAUUUUAAUUGAAAUGCAUUUAUUUUUAUGCAGAGUCAGUGUUAAUUUUUUUUUUCUCAGCCAUGUUUCAUUGAAAAAAACAAAAUGUCCAUUCAGGAUUCUAAAGCUUCUCCCAAACAGUUACUAAAAAAAAAGUCUUAUUAAAGAAAGAAGCAUUUUUGAUUUCUACACUUUCACACUGAGCUUUAGUCUGAACAGCCUUAGUUUAUUUUGAGAAGAUUCUUCUUCAGGUGCCCCCUGUGUUUUAUGGGUUCCAUAAAAAAUUUAAAGAGGAAAUCCAACAACUUCAAGCACAGAGUGUUUGUGUUUGAUUCCUGUGAAGUAGGAGUCGUCCUUCUGUUUGUAGUUGUGGCCAGGUUGUUACAGAGCUAAACACUGAGGGCAAACUGUAAGAUUCUGCUUUUUCACAUGGAUCACAAAACAUUACAUUGUCAGGUAUUAAGAAAAGUCUGCAAAGACGGACAGGACCAUCUCUGGUUGCUGUCCAGAUCAUAGUUAUUGGAGGUGUAGCUGUUUAGCAGCAGCCAACAAGUGGGAAGAGGUGUAGGAUGGCCAGACAUCAGAGUAAUUCUUAGCUUCUCCAACCGCACUGUCAGCAGAAAA